UUGAUUCAUUGAACGACAAUAGUCAAAAAAUGUCAUCACAAGUUUAGAUGAAAACUAUCCUCCCACUUCACCUAGUUUUUUGCAUAUGUUGAACCAAAAAAUGCACUUGUCAAUCGAUUAGUUUCAAUUGUCAAUCCACUAAGUAUGCCGCCAUCUUAUGACGUGAUGCACAGAGGUGGUGCCGGUGGUGGCGGCGGAGCUGUUGAUGCUGGUGUUAAUGAAUUGAAGGUGGGGUUGGGGAUGAUCAUCAAGAACAGAAAAGGAAAAAACAAAGCAACUGCGGAAGAACAGUAACUGUAACAAUUGAAAUUACACGAUUGAUUUACUAAUAUUUUCAUUUGAUUACUAUCAGGAAAAGAAGUUUAUGCUUGAGUUUCUCUAAA